rnacentral:misc_RNA from 1 species
UUGACAGUUGCCAGAGGCAGUAACACUCAGAGAGGAGCGACACCGCCGGGGCGGAGAGUCUUGGGGGGCCUUUGACCCCUUGGAGGGGCCGAGGCAACGUUCACGUGGGUUCGCAGGGUCGGAAAUCGCUUUCCUGUAAUGAUCCCUCCGCUGGUUCACCAACGGAGA